rnacentral:rRNA from 1 species
AGAGUUUGAUCAUGGCUCAGGAUGAACGCUGGCGGCGUGCCUAACACAUGCAAGUCGAACGGGAAUCUUCGGAUUCUAGUGGCGGACGGGUGAGUAACGCGUAAGAAUCUAACUUCAGGACGGGGACAACAGUUGGAAACGACUGCUAAUACCCGAUGUGCCGCGAGGUGAAACCUAAUUGGCCUGAAGAAGAGCUUGCGUCUGAUUAGCUAGUUGGUGGGGUAAAGGCCUACCAAGGCGACGAUCAGUAGCUGGUCUGAGAGGAUGAGCAGCCACACUGGGACUGAGACACGGCCCAGACUCCUACGGGAGGCAGCAGUGGGGAAUUUUCCGCAAUGGGCGAAAGCCUGACGGAGCAACGCCGCGUGAGGGAGGAAGGUCUUUGGAUUGUAAACCUCUUUUCUCAAGGAAGAAGUUCUGACGGUACUUGAGGAAUCAGCCUCGGCUAACUCCGUGCCAGCAGCCGCGGUAAUACGGGGGAGGCAAGCGUUAUCCGGAAUUAUUGGGCGUAAAGCGUCCGCAGGUGGUCAGCCAAGUCUGCUGUCAAAUCAGGUUGCUUAACGACCUAAAGGCGGUGGAAACUGGCAGACUAGAGAGCAGUAGGGGUAGCAGGAAUUCCCAGUGUAGCGGUGAAAUGCGUAGAGAUUGGGAAGAACAUCGGUGGCGAAAGCGUGCUACUGGGCUGUAUCUGACACUCAGGGACGAAAGCUAGGGGAGCGAAAGGGAUUAGAUACCCCUGUAGUCCUAGCCGUAAACGAUGGAUACUAGGCGUGGCUUGUAUCGACCCGAGCCGUGCCGAAGCUAACGCGUUAAGUAUCCCGCCUGGGGAGUACGCACGCAAGUGUGAAA